GGCUCAGAUUGAACGCUGGCGGCAUGCCUUACACAUGCAAGUCGAACGGCAGCGCGGGGCAACCUGGCGGCGAGUGGCGAACGGGUGAGUAAUAUAUCGGAACGUACCCUGGAGUGGGGGAUAACGUAGCGAAAGUUACGCUAAUACCGCAUACGAUCUAAGGAUGAAAGUGGGGGAUCGCAAGACCUCAUGCUCCUGGAGCGGCCGAUAUCUGAUUAGCUAGUUGGUGGGGUAAAGGCCUACCAAGGCAUCGAUCAGUAGCUGGUCUGAGAGGACGACCAGCCACACUGGAACUGAGACACGGUCCAGACUCCUACGGGAGGCAGCAGUGGGGAAUUUUGGACAAUGGGCGAAAGCCUGAUCCAGCAAUGCCGCGUGAGUGAAGAAGGCCUUCGGGUUGUAAAGCUCUUUUGUCAGGGAAGAAACGGUGAGGGCUAAUAUCUCUUGCUAAUGACGGUA
rnacentral:rRNA from 1 species